CCUAUCGGAUUGUGCAACGUGUAUUCAUUUGUUACAAAUAAUUAUGAUUUAAAUACUAAUUAAAUUAAUAGGAUUAGGACUAGACGGUAAUUUUACCUUUUAUAUAUUGACUACGGUUACAAAUCAAUAUAACUGUGACAUGUUCCGAUUUCAUGGAGUUAACUCACCAUUUUCCCCCGCUUGCCCUAGUUUUUUCACCCAUGCCUUCUGAAAUCAAACGACAUCUCGAUUUACCAUCGGUCUUCAACAUCAGUCUCCACUUCGACCACCGCUCGACCCCUUCGACCAAUGCACCACCUCCAAUCAUGACUUCUGAAAUCAAACGAAAGCCCUUCAUUCAUGAUGUCUUCAAUGUCAAUGUCUUCCUACACCGCCCUUCGCGACUACAUUCCAAGUGACCACAGUUGGACAUAGUCGUCGUUUACCAUCGUCGUUCGCUAUUGUCGUCUGUCGGCUACACAUGUCUCUCUAUAGGUCCAGGUGAAAACCUACUUCAAAUUCUUAAUUGAUAAAUAACAAUCCAUCAUUCUUGUAGAUAUCAACAUGAUGUGUAAAGAUGAGCCAACUAAGGUUAUAAGAAUGUCGGAUAACAAAUGUUUCGGCUCAAGUCCAACCAUUAUUAUCGGUUUAUUUCUCCAUCAAUAUUAAUUUCUCAAAAUUGUUUCAUUUACAGGCUCGUUGUUGCCAAUUUCAUAUCUUACAUUGAUAAACUUAAGUGUUGCCUCGUGGAUAAGUUAGAAUAAAUCAAAAUAAUGUACUUUGGCCA